CUACGGGCGGCUCCAGUGAGGAAUAUUGGUCAAUGGGCGCGAGCCUGAACCAGCCAUCCCGCGUGCAGGAUGACGGCCCUAUGGGUUGUAAACUGCUUUUCUAUGCCAAGAAACCUGAUUACGUGUAAUCAGUUGCCGGUAGCAUAGGAAUAAGCAUCGGCUAACUCCGUGCCAGCAGCCGCGGUAAUACGGAGGAUGCAAGCGUUAUCCGGAUUCAUUGGGUUUAAAGGGUGCGCAGGUGGGCUUGUAAGUCAGUGGUGAAAUGCUGCCGCUUAACGGUAGAACUGCCAUUGAUACUGCGAGUCUUGAGUAUGGUUGAGGUAGGCGGAAUGUGUUGUGUAGCGGUGAAAUGCAUAGAUAUGACACAGAACGCCAAUUGCGAAGGCAGCUUACUAAGCCAUUGCUGACGCUGAGGCACGAAAGCGUGGGGAGCGAACAGGAUUAGAUACCCCCGUAGUC
rnacentral:rRNA from 1 species